UACGUAGGGGGCAAGCGUUGUCCGGAUUCAUUGGGCGUAAAGAGCUUGUAGGCGGUCUGUCGCGUCUGCUGUGAAAAUCCGGGGCUCAACCCCGGACUUGCAGUGGGUACGGGCAGACUAGAGUGUGGUAGGGGAGACUGGAAUUCCUGGUGUAGCGGUGAAAUGCGCAGAUAUCAGGAGGAACACCGAUGGCGAAGGCAGGUCUCUGGGCCACUACUGACGCUGAGAAGCGAAAGCAUGGGGAGCGAACAGG
rnacentral:rRNA from 1 species